GGGCUGUGACCUCCGCCAUUGCCCCAGCUAAGCAGCGAGAGCUUGCUGAAGCCCAGAGGGCUGUAGGACCAUGAAAGCAGCUCUCUGGACCCUGGGACUCGGGCCCCUUCUUCUCAAUCUCUGGGCAGUCCCCAUUGCUCCUUGGGGCUGAGUGGCGGAGGCAGCCCCUGCGCGGGAACCCCCAUGAUCCGGAUAACAGAAGGCUCUGUGAUAAGGUGCAGCUUGCACCAGAAGGAGGCCAGCAUCUUCUGCAGAAGGCUGGGGUGCGGCCCGGCGCUCCAGCAUCCAGGCCCCACCUCACAGGGCACCCAGGCUGGCUGGGCUCGAAAAUCAUUUCCUGCCAGGGAACAGAGUCCAGCAUCUUCAACUGCAGGUUCAACCUGAACUUCCUGGACCUCUGUGACCUCCCAACAGACUCUGAGGUGGUGUGUGCAGGUAGUGCAGAAAAGGCAGGAGAAGUUCCUGAGGACCCUGGGGAGCCCCUCAACGGAGCUCUGGCACGCGGGCUCCUGGGGCACCGUGUGCGACGAUGGCUGGGACCUGGCAGACGCGGAGGUCGUGUGCCGCCAGCUGGGCUGUGGUCGGGCCGUCGCCGCCCUGGGGGCCGCCGCCUUUGGCCCUGGCUCCGGGCCCGUGUGGCUGGACGAGGUGGGGUGCCGGGGCAGCGAGGCGUCCCUGUGGGGCUGCCCUUCGGAGCGGUGGGGACGCGGAGGCUGCGCGCACAAGGAGGACGCAGGCCUGCGCUGCUGGGAGCCUGGCCCAGGCCCCCCGCUGCCUGCAGCUCCCAUCCGGACAUUGUGGGCGGUCAGUGUCGUCCUGCAGCUCCCAUCCGGACAUUCUGGGCGGUCAGUGUCGUCCUGGGAGCCCUUCUUGGUCUUCUCCUUCUGGGCCUUAUGGCCUUUCUGAUUCUGCCUCGAGUCACACAAGCCAUGCAGAGGGGUCUAGGAAGAUCCGAGGCAUCUCUUGGAGAAGCCAUCUAUGAUGUCAUUGGGGAAAUGCCGCUAGCAGGACUGUACGAGGAAAUCAUGGAGGCCGAGGCCGAGGCCAUGCUCCAAGAUGAGGAGGACGAGGGUGUGGUGAAGGUGGACACAGAAGCCGCAGUUUCAGGGGAGGCGUCUAACCUCCUGGAGGGACAGUCUAUACGUAUGGAGGGAGGACACAGCAGACCUGUUUCUCAGGGAUAUGACGAGGCUGCGUUUCCUCUGGAGGAGAUGAUGUUGUAAAGCACCCUGAGGAUGAGAUACACCAGCUGGCUGUCGAAAUCACAGCUCUUCAUUUUCUUGUACAAUUGUAGUGGAUUUCGUGAGAACACCUUGGAUGCCUUUCUCUUGCAAUGUCCUCCACGUCCAUAUAAAAUCCAGUCCUUCCAGGCCCUGCCUGGUUCUAACCCUCAUCCCCUUCGAGGGCCAUCUGCUGUGGACAGUUGUGCUGUGUAACCUUCAGAUUUCCCACACAUUACAGCAAUGCAAAUACACAUAGAAAUCAGUGGUUCUGUUUGUGGUUUAGAGACACAUGGUGCCAUCUUCAUCUUCCGCUCCACAGCUCGCUUCUGGCACCCAGCAGUGCGUUGCAGAGAUCCCCGUGCCAGAACCUUCCUCUUUUUUCUUAAAAACUCUUCUUAAUUGAAUCCAAAGUAUCUUUUAGAUGUUCUACUUGUGUAAUCAUGUCAUCUGUGAAUAUUCAGAUUUAUCUUCUCCCUCCAA
rnacentral:sRNA from 1 species